UACGGGGGGUGCGAGCGUUGUCCGGAAUCACUGGGCGUAAAGGGCGCGUAGGUGGUCUGAUAAGGGUGUGGUGAAAGCCCGGGGCUCAACCCCGGGUCGGCCGUGCCGACUGUUAGACUAGAGUCCGGAAGAGGCGAGUGGAAUUCCCGGUGUAGCGGUGAAAUGCGCAGAUAUCGGGAGGAACACCAAUGGCGAAGGCGACUACCUGGCCUGUUCUUGACGCUGAGGCGCGAAAGCUAGGGGAGCAAACGGG
rnacentral:rRNA from 1 species